AAAUCUAUAUAUCUAUUAUAAGUACAGGUUGAAUGGGCAAACAUGCCAAUUGUCAAAACUUGGUAGGCCAAAUCUUUCUUUAUCUUGAAAAGCCAAGCAUCCUCGACUUUGGUGAAAGAAAUUCCAAACCCAUGCAUGCACAUUCCGGCAACCUCGAUAUUGAAAAUUCAGCCACCAUACUCAACCCAUCACAGCCAGAUCAAUCAGUCACUCAUCCUACAAACACCAUACCCGAUAUGUGAUUUGCACAGCAAUGACAACACCCUGCAAGAAGCUCGGGCAGAAGCAAAUCUUGCACCUGCACUACACACAUCAAUCGCCACCUGCAAGAGUUGAAAAAGAAUGCCUAAAUUAUCGUGGAUAAAGCAAGCCAGGAAUGAGUCGAUUACUACAAAAGGUAUGUGUUUAAAUAAAUUAUAUAUAGAAAAUAUGAAAAACAUAUCUAAAAUCAGAUCUUGCAAACAUCUGAAAAGACAAAACUUCUGUCUAAAAAUCCAAUUAAGACAAAUCUGCUCAUAUUCACCAAGUAGGGUUUAUUGAAAAACAAACCCUAAAGC
rnacentral:lncRNA from 1 species